rnacentral:rRNA from 1 species
AGUGAACGCUGGCGGUAGGCCUAACACAUGCAAGUCGAACGGCAGCACAGUAAGAGCUUGCUCUUACGGGUGGCGAGUGGCGGACGGGUGAGGAAUACAUCGGAAUCUACUUUUUCGUGGGGGAUAACGUAGGGAAACUUACGCUAAUACCGCAUACGACCUACGGGUGAAAGCAGGGGAUCUUCGGACCUUGCGCGAUUGAAUGAGCCGAUGUCGGAUUAGCUAGUUGGCGGGGUAAAGGCCCACCAAGGCGACGAUCCGUAGCUGGUCUGAGAGGAUGAUCAGCCAACAUGGAAAUGAGACAAGGUCCAGAAUCCUACGGGAGGCAGCAGUGGGGAAUAUUGGACAAUGGGCGCAAGCCUGAUCCAGCCAUACCGCGUGGGUGAAGAAGGCCUUCGGGUUGUAAAGCCCUUUUGUUGGGAAAGAAAAGCAGCAGGUUAAUACCCCGCUGUUCUGACGGUACCCAAAGAAUAAGCACCGGCUAACUUCGU